rnacentral:rRNA from 1 species
GACGUAGGGCGCGAGCGUUGUCCGGAUUUAUUGGGCGUAAAGAGCUCGUAGGCGGCUUGUCGCGUCGACUGUGAAAACCCGUGGCUCAACCAUGUGGUCUGCAGUCGAUACGGGCAGGCUAGAAUUCGGUAGGGGAGACUGGAAUUCCUGGUGUAGCGGUGAAAUGCGCAGAUAUCAGGAGGAACACCGGUGGCGAAGGCGGGUCUCUGGGCCGAUAUUGACGCUGGAGGAGCGAAAGCGUGGGGAGCGAACAGG